rnacentral:rRNA from 1 species
CCAGCCGUAAACGAUGCGCGUUAGGUGUAUCGGUGACCACGAGUCAUCGAGGUGCCGAAGAGAAAUCGUGAAACGUGCCGCCUGGGAAGUACGGUCGCAAGGCUGAAACUUAAAGGAAUUGGCGGGGGAGCACCACAACAGGUGGAGCCUGCGGUUUAAUCGGACUCAACGCCGGAAAUCUCACCGGAUAAGACAGCUGUAUGAUAGUCGGGCUGAAGACUCUACUUGACUAGCUGAGAGGAGG